UACGAAGGGGGCUAGCGUUGUUCGGAUUUACUGGGCGUAAAGCGCACGUAGGCGGAUCGUUAAGUCGGGGGUGAAAUCCUGGAGCUCAACUCCAGAACUGCCUUCGAUACUGGCGAUCUUGAGUCCGGGAGAGGUGAGUGGAACUCCGAGUGUAGAGGUGAAAUUCGUAGAUAUUCGGAAGAACACCAGUGGCGAAGGCGGCUCACUGGCCCGGUACUGACGCUGAGGUGCGAAAGCGUGGGGAGCAAACAGG
rnacentral:rRNA from 1 species